ensembl:lncRNA
AAAGAAAGAGUCUUGCCAUCUCUCUCACAUGACCUUAGUUUGAAGUCUUUAGUUUUCUGUAAUUCAGAUAACCUGCCUGUCGAGUGCACUUCUAAAUCAGAGCUGCAGAAUGCAUGAGGGUGUUGCUCUACUGGCUGGUCAUUCCUCAUCUCCAGCAGAGAAUGAGUCAAAGAUACCUGGACCUGCGAGUUCUCCACCCACGACCGUUCAGCCUCAAACUACAACCGCGGAGAGUUUGGCUCAUAGCAUCAGAAGCAAGUUUCUGAAUGAGCUUCAUAAAGUCCCAAUACCAUCCUGGGCUCUGGUGGCCCUGGGCUUCCUCAUAGUCCUCAUCAUGCUCAGCUGCUGCCUGUGUUUCUGCAAGAAGAUGAUAUUUAAGAAGAAAAAGGAAAAGGGUGGAGAAGAGAAAAAUGAAAAGAACACCAUUAACCUGUCAAACGUGAAAGAGGACAGAACAAAACAG